CUCAUGCACCACACACACACACACACACAUACGCACACACACACACAAACUCUCUCUCUCUCUCUCUCUCUCUCUCUCUCUCUACAUUUUGUGUACAACACAUUUGCUUACAAAAGUCCAGAGUGCGAUGCAUUUACCUGCAUGGUAUCAGAUGAGCGUUAUGACGCUGACACUUCUCACCUGUCUUCAAAUCACAGUAACCCGAAGACAAAACCGGUGUAUGAGACAUUAUUUUGUCGAAGUCGUCCGGCACCCCUACAAAGACUGUGAAUACAAGAAGAUGUUGUUGACUCGCUGCAAAGGCCACUGUACGAAAUCAAGAACGCAACCGCUGAUAACUUUCUCACCAAUAUUAUUAGAACCUUUCCAUUACAUAUGCUCUUGUUGUCGCGACAAACUUUC